rnacentral:rRNA from 1 species
ACUCAAAGGAAUAGACGGGGGCCCGCACAAGCAGCGGAGCGUGUGGUUUAAUUCGAGGCUACACGAAGCACCUUACCUGGACUUGACAUGACGCUAGUAGGGAAGUGAAAGCGGACCGACCCGCAAGGGAGGCGUCACAGGUGCUGCAUGGCUGUCGUCAGCUCGUGCCGUGAGGUGUUAGGUUAAGUCCUGUAACGAGCGCAACCCCCGGGUUCAGUUACAUGUUGUCUGGACCGACUGCCCGUGACAAGCGGGAGGAAGGUGGGGAUGACGUCAAGUCAGCAUGGCCUUGAUGUCCAGGGCUACACACACGCUACAAUGGCCGGUACAAUGGGUCGCCAAGCCGCAAGGCGGAGCCAAUCCAGACAAAGCCGGUCGUAGUUCGGAUUGGGGGCUGCAACCCGCCCCCAUGAAGUCGGAGUUGCUAGUAACCGCGCGUCAGCCAUAGUGCGGUGAAUACGUUCCCGGGCCUUGCACACACCGCCCGU